AGCGAGUCUGAAUAGGGCGUGCAGUACAGCGGGGCAGACGCGAAACCAAGUGAUCUAUCCAUGGUCAGGAUGAAGCGGUGGUAAGACACCGUGGAGGUCCGAACCGGUUGACGUUGAAAAGUCUUCGGAUGAACUGUGGAUAGGGGUGAAAGGCCAAUCAAACUUGGAGAUAGCUCGUACUCCCCGAAAUAUAUUUAGGUAUAGCGUUUGAUUUUGUCUGCCUGGAGGUAGAGCACUGAUUAGGCUAGGGCCCUUCACCGGGUACCAACCCUAGACAAACUCCGAAUACCAGCGCAGAGCCAUCAAGCAGUCAGUGGCAGGGUGAUAACGUCCUGUCGCGAGAGGGGAACAACCCAGACUACCAGCUAAGGUCCCUAAAUACCAACUAAGUUGAUCAAAGAAAGUUGAGUUGCCUAGACAACUAGGAGGUUGGCUUAGAAGCAGCCAUUCCUUUAAAGAGUGCG
rnacentral:rRNA from 1 species